GAUGAACGCUGGCGGCGUGCCUAAUACAUGCAAGUCGAACGCUGAAGGAGGAGCUUGCUCUUCUGGAUGAGUUGCGAACGGGUGAGUAACGCGUAGGUAACCUGCCUGGUAGCGGGGGAUAACUAUUGGAAACGAUAGCUAAUACCGCAUGACAACAGUUAUUGCAUGAUAACUGUUUAAAAGGGGCAACUGCUCCACUACCAGAUGGACCUGCGUUGUAUUAGCGAGUUGGUGAGGUAACGGCUCACCAAGGCGACGAUACAUAGCCGACCUGAGAGGGGGAGUGGCCACACUGGGACGGAGACACGCCACAGACGCCUUCGGGAGGGAGCAGUAGGGAAUCGUGGGCAAGGGGCGGAAGUCUGAGCGAGCAACGCCGCGGGAGGGAAGAAGGGUGUCGGAUCGGAAAGCUCGGUUGUAAGAGUAGAAAGAGUGUGAGAGUGGAAAGUUCACACUGUGACGGUAACUUACCAGAAAGCGACGGCUAACUACGUG
rnacentral:rRNA from 1 species